ensembl:lncRNA
CGUGGCCGUACCUGUCAGUUUCUGGACUGUCUCCGAGGUCCUAACACAUUACAAAAGGUCCGAACAAUUCCGAACGAGGUCCGAACACAUUCCGAACGAGGUCCGAACACAUUCCGAACGAGAUCAAAGAGUUUCAAACGAGGUCCGAACGAGGUCCGAACAAGGUCCGAACACUGUCCGAACACUGAUUCCGAAUUGUGUCACGUGACCGAGGAGGCGUGGUUAUCGCUUUAGAGUCGCAGCAGAGCUAUAGAGAGAUAUAUGUACAACUCUGAAGUCGCAGCCAUUCUUUUCCACCGCAUCACUACAGACUCGGGAAUAAGAUGACUAAGACAGGAAAGCCAGACAGCUACUGGAGGGACCUCUGUAUAAAAUAUGCCCAGGGCCUUUACCGCUUCUCGACUGGCAAACGGCCAGGGGCCAAGAAAUGGAAAAAGGCCUUGGAGAACAUCGAUGCUUGCCCCCUGCAGAGCCAUAGUGGUAGUAAGGAUCUGUUCGGGAGAAGCCUUCAGUGCUCCUGUGGCUUCCACAAGGUAUGUGAAAUUAUUUUCCCCCUGUGGGUUCCACAAGGUAAGUGAGUUAUUUACUAAUUGAUUGUUUACAGGUUUGCUUGUUUCUUCCUCUGGUGGGCUUCAGUGAUUUUGCAGUAAUGCCUGAUGUAUUUUAACAACUGGAGAAAACUAGUAGUGUAGGAUUCUUAGAUGUAUGUACCAUGGCCUCUCUUUGUGAACCCCCCCCCAGCCAGCAGAUCUGUCAUCAGGAGCUGGGUCCAGUGAGGCAGGAGUAGUUGAGACGGAGGCAGGGCGAGUCCGAGUCGGCUCAGAGGCAGGAAGAGGAGACACGGAUGCAGGGGGAGCCCGGUCCCACACAGAGGCAGAGGCAGGGAGAGGAGACAAGGAGGCAGGGAGAAGAGACACAGAGACAAGGAGAGGAGUCACGGAUGCAGGGGAGCCCAGUCCCACACAGAGGCAGAGGCAGGGAGAGGAGACAAGGAGGCAGGGAGAAGAGACACAGAGACAAGGAGAGGAGUCACGGAUGCAGGGGGAGCCCAGUCCCACACCGAGGCAGAGGCAGGGAGAGGAGACAAGGAGGCAGGGAGAAGAGACACAGAGACAAGGAGAGGAGUCACGGAUGCAGGGGGAGCCCGGUCCCACAAAGAGGCAGAGGCAGAGAGAGGAGACAAGGAGGCAGGGCCAUCAGUGGCAGGACAGGAAUUGCAGUGCUACGGGUGCAACCAGCUUGUGGAGGCAGCACAUUUUUCAGAGCACCUGUCUGACCACCAUACUGAGGAGACGUGUGACACCUGUGGGGCCAAGGUGGAGGGUACUGUUGGUCUUUUGAACCAUAUUCAACAGGUUCACUAUGCAGGAUUCGUUAUGCCAUCGAUGCAAAAGCCAACAGUCCUAACAUCGAAGCCAACGCCAUCACCACCGAAGCCCACACUACUACCACCGAGGCCAACUCCAUCUCUGCUCCCUCCUUCAAAUAGCUGUGCCGCGCCAUACCACACUGCAACUCCACCUAAACCAACUCCAGUAGUUUGGAAAGGUUUUCUUCCCGAUCAGUUUCGGAAAGUCAUCCAACCGGCAGAUCAGGUGUGGAUUGCCAAGUGUCUAUAUGAGCCUACAGGUCAGCUCAAGCAGAAAUUUGAAGCCUGCUGGUUUCACCCCCCACUGGAGCCCAAACCCUCUCGUCCUGAGCCUGGGUGGUACCACCGGCAGAGGCUGUUCAUCUGGGCACCCAUGAGGAUGUGGGGGAUUUCCUUAAAAUGCCCAAAAUGUUCCGGGAAAAUGAACAGCUCCGGCAUAUACAGAAAGGUCAGGGAGGUGAUCGAUGUGGAUAGCCGCUAUUACCUAGUGGGAGGGGACUAUCCACGUUGCAGCAAGUGUUUGAACCCUUCCCUCUUAGUCUGCCCAUGGAGCCAGGAUAUUCUGUCCCAGUUGGAUGUGGCACACAGGAGCCUGUUCCCCGCUGUCCUCACCACCCAGCUGGCUCUUGACAGGAAAGCAGUGACUUUCCUCAAGCCAAGGACCAGUGGAAACAGUUCCUCCUACGUCCAGUCUGCGAUGGAAGAAGCGCACAGUGAGGAGUGGGCACGGCAGACCAUCCGCUACCUCUCGGACUGUGAGCGGCACAAGAAGAUGGCUACCUUCAUCCCCUCUGCAGCUGUCUAUCUUCCUCCACCAACCUUCAGGCCCCUUCCACUUGCUCAAUGGUUUGAGACGGUCCACUCCAACGACAUUCUCAGCCAUCUGGAUGAGAUGAAGGGAGUGAUCACUUCAACCUAUGGUAGAAUUCUGAAAAUGGAUUCAACAAAGAAGAUCACCAAGAAGCUGGCUGGCGGGAUCGGGGACAGUGCGGCAUGGAUGUCCAAUAUCGGAAACGAGUUAGGCCAGGUCCUGAACUCUGUUCUGACGUCGGGUGAAGGUGCAGGGUUGGAAGAGUUGUGCCAAGGCGUCGUCACUCGGUACAAGAAUGCAGGCCAAGCUGAACCUGAGGCCAUCUAUGUCGACCGAGACUGCUGCAGCCAGUCAGGCGUGUCUUCAGUGGCUAAGCUGUUUCACCCAUGGCAAACUACAGUGCGCUUGGACAGCUUCCACUUCAUGAGGCGCUUUAACUGCGGCCUCACAACAGAACACCACCCUCUGUAUGGUAUUUUCUGUGCCAAGCUUUCCUCCUGCAUUUUUGCAUGGGACCAGGAGGAUGUGCAACGCCUGAAGGAGGCCAAGAGAGAAGAGUGGAAGAGCAGCCACAGCGGGCAUACUCCCACUGAGGAGCAGCUCAUGGCCACCAUCAGUCCAGGCGAACUGAAGAGGCACUGCAGGAGGAGGACCCGUGGAGUGGAGGAGACGCGGGGCAUGAUCUCAGGGCUGCUGGAAUCAGUGUGGGAGCUGACGGACACCACAGGGCUGCGUCUGGUGAGCCAUGACAGCAUGCGCCAUGUCUGGGAAGUGCAGCAGAAGCACCUGGAGUGCCUCAAGACCCUGCAGGUGUGGCACUGUACACGAAGGUGGGGACACUCCAGAAGGGCGGCAAAGAGCUGGACGUCCUAAGGUGUGGUAGGGGGUCCUCCUCCCUGGAGAGUUUUCACAAACACCAGUGCGCUUUUAUUCCAGGCUGGCGGUGCAAUGCUGUUCACACACAGAUGUACAUGCUGGAGGGAGUAUCGAGGUGGAACAUGGGCCGGGCCAAGGAGGCAGUAGAUGUGGAGGGGGCCUCAACCCUCAGAAGCUUUGAUGUCCGCUUGAUGUCCCACCUCAGCAACUUAAGCCAGCGCGUUCUUGGUUCCACUCUGGUGCCAGAGUUCACUCCACCCGGGAAACCUACUAGUAAGAGAGAUCUCAGAGCAACACUGAUUGACCAGAGUAUUACAUCCCCUCCUCCUCUUUUUCUUAGGCACCCCC